rnacentral:lncRNA from 1 species
UCUUUAAUAAACUCAGAGCUGCUGAUUUUUGGACAGAUUCUGUUUAUCUCAUCUCUCAUCUCUUGUUUCUGAUCCUGUAGGAGACCCUGCAUCAGCUGAUUAUGAUGCCUCCUCCCAGUGUGCUGCUGCUGGGCAGGAACCCGCUCUGUGAGGAAGGUCUAGAAGAGAUCAGGAUGUUGCUGCUUCUGUUGCUUGGCUGUGCUGUGCAGGUAAUAUGUCACUAUGUACACGUAGAUUAUAUUAAACUGAGCACUUGAGAGUUAAUUUAUUCAUUGUUUAUUCACUUUUCAUUGUACAUUUUCAUUAGAAUGUAGCAGUGCCACCUCUAGCGUGUAGACCUAAAACUGCCUGUUGCUGUUUUAUAGUGUGAAAGAAAAGAGGAGUAUAUCGAGAAGAUACAAAGUCUUGAUUUUGACACAAAAGCAGCAAUUGCAGCUCAUAUCCAAAAGGUACUGGAAUAGGCUACAAGAGACACAAUUGCUUUGCAAAUAUGGCACAUGUGGCUGAUUAUCGUAUAGUCAUGUAGUAAUUGUAUUUGAUUGGACUUCUCAUGGAGAACUGAUUAAAAUCAUGUCUGCCUGAAAGAAGCCACCUACAGGCAUAAUGAGUGUCUUAAUAACUCAACAAGAUAAUACAUCAGAAACCGUUUUGUUUUCAGAUUGUCAGCAGCAUGUAACUUCUAUUAUCUAUUAUGCACCUUCUUGCCAGGAGUUGUUUUGAAUUGAAUAGAAUGUAGAUGAUACAUUUUUUGUAAUUGUAUAAAGCUAUAACAAAAUGCUGAUUGAUGCAGAAUUUAUUUAUUUAUUUAUUUAUUUGCACUCCAGGUGACUCAUUGUCAGGAGAAUGUGUUUGAUCUGCACUGGUUGGGGAUGGAGGGCCUGUGUCAAGAGGAAUGGGAAAAUCUCUGCAGAAAUAUGAGCAUUAAUCUCAAAAUGUUAGUGGACCAGCGAGACCGCCAAUUUGAGGUAUCUUCAGAAGUAAUUUAGAAGUGACGAAAUUCAUUCCCUUCCCCACUUUUCUAGGAGAUGAUCAUUUAAUUUCAGAAAGGUUUAUUGGCUGCAGUAUGAAGGAAAAUAAAUAUUAGCUGGUUCAUAAAAUGAUAAACAGCCAGUGCAUUAGACUUUAAAUGUCUAUUGUGUGAAGCUAAAACAGUUUAGUUGGCUAACUAAUUGAUUUUCUUGUCUGACCCCCUCACUCUUUCUGUCUCUGCUGGUAGGCCAUCGUGGAGUUGAUGCAGGGGAAAGAGACGAUGAAGUCUGUAGUGUUUGGUGAUGACUCCUCCCUCACAGAGUCCACCAGCAGCCAGCUCCCUUUAUCCCAGCAGCACCUGGCACUAGAGCUGGCG